AGCCCUAAGAAAUAAUUUAGGGUGAUACCUGCCCUAUGAGAAAUUAAAUGGCCGCGGUACUUUGACCGUGCUAAGGUAGCAUAAUCAAUUGACUUUUAAAUGAAGUCUGGAAUGAAAGGGAUAACGGAAUUUAGCUGUCUCAUUCUCUUAAUAUGAAUUUACUAAAUAGGUGAAAAGGCCUAGAUAAGAUAAAAGACGAGAAGACCCUAAGAGUUUAAAUUAUUUUGUUGGGGCGACAUAGGAUCAUAAAACAUCCUUAAUUUAUGUGACGGAUUUUUCAUGUUUAGAUAAACUACCUUAGGGAUAACAGCAUAAUUUUUUAAAGUUUGUGACCUCGAUGUUGGACUAGGAAGCUUUUAGGCUAGCUGCCUAAUUGGGGGAUUCUGUUCGAAUUUUUACUCCU
rnacentral:rRNA from 1 species